rnacentral:ncRNA from 1 species
CCGCAGCGCGUGCUUCAUGACGAUAUUGGGAAAGCUCACGCCCUUCAGCCGGGCGGUGCGGAUGUAUUGCGCGGUCAUGACCUCGGCCAUGGAGGCGCGGGUCAUCCGCGCGAUGUAGCCCAUGCCGUACAGCGCGAUGGUCAGCACCGGCAGAAAGAAGUUUUCGAAGGUCGGGU